CCGGCGCACGGGUGAGUAACACGUAUCCAACCUGCCGUCUACUCUUGGACAGCCUUCUGAAAGGAAGAUUAAUACAAGAUGGCAUCAUGAGUUCACAUGUUCACAUGAUUAAAGGUAUUCCGGUAGACGAUGGGGAUGCGUUCCACUAGGUAGUAGGCGGGGUAACGGCCCACCUAGUCUUCGAUGGAUAGGGGUUCUGAGAGGAAGGUCCCCCACAUUGGAACUGAGACACGGUCCAA
rnacentral:rRNA from 1 species